rnacentral:lncRNA from 1 species
AAAUUCGGUGGUGUUUUGAAUUGAUGUUAGGUCCAAGCACCAGGAAUGUUUAUAGAUUAGUUGAGAAAGAUAUCUUUGGAGAUGCUGAAAUUAGAGAGAGAAAGCAGAUCCCUACAACCAAUUCUUAUCGGUUUAAUGCUACUAAAACAGCCAAAAUCCUUAACAUUCAGGUAAUGGAGAUCAUUUCAUUUUUAUGUACCGAUAACAAAUGUGGUUCUCUUGUGCUUUCGAACAAUUAAACAGUAUUUUGGUUAUCCUUGAUGAAGCUGCUAUAGCUGCGGUUAUGAAUGCUGACGAUUGGAAAGCAUAGCUAUGAGGCAAUUUCAGACAGAGGAUAACAAAUGGGAUGUAUUUGUUACCUUAAUUGUUAUAAAUUUGACCGUUAUUACAAAAACAUUGCUGCCAGCAAAUUAUUGUCAGUUCAUGUUGACUUGCUAGAAAUUUUUGAAUGUAUAUGACGUGAUACACACCCAUGAUGCCUUUAAGAUAAAUUCACUAAUAAAUAAUUAAGCUUAUGAGAAAAAGGAUUUUUAUUAUAUGGUGAUAUUUUACAAUGUCAUGCACGUUGAUGAUGCUUUUAGAUAAUCACAAAUCUUAGAUGAUAUUUACAAAUUUUAUAUGCGUAUAUUACAUUUGGUAUGCUAAAAGAAUAAUAGAAUAUUGAUUUGUGAGUACUUGUUACUUUAUCUCAAAAGUGAUUCAGAAUAUUGCCUUGUAUAUUAGCAUGUAUUUGGAUGAUCCUCUGAAGUUUGAAGAUUAAUUUUUUGUUAUUUGAGUUAGAUAUAUCAUCGUACUAAAUAAAAGAGGGAAUCAGGCCUUCAAUGUUCAUUCUUAUGGUUCCCUUUUUCACACCUGAUUUUUUUCUACCAUUCAUAAAUUGGUUCAAACGGGAGUGUAUUAAAUGCUCCCUUACGGAAAUCUUUUCUCACACGCCUCUCUAAUGCUACAAGAUGGAAAGUAGUGCUAACCUUUCCUUUUCCCUUUCCUUGUGGCGGAUUUCCAAAGAGACUCGUGGUCUCCUCAAGAUCUUGGAGAAGAAGCAAUGGAAUCAUUGCAUCAUUCUUUGAUUCGCAAUCGGCUUCUCGGAACAGUUGGAGUUACGACUCUCUCAAGAAUUUCCAUCUAAUUUUCCCUACUGUUUAGACCCAUCUCAAGCAAGUUUAUUUUAUCAAUUCAUGAACAUCUUCUUCAUGAUUCUUGGGAAAGAAUUGAUAGUUUCAUGAUAAGAAUUGAAUAUUUUUUGCCCCCCUUUUACCCCUUUUCAGCUUAAAGUGUAGGAAUAUUAUGGUCUCUCCCUUAUCACUUCCAAACAAAUUGCGUCGAGAAGAAUUCUUAUUUUUUUUUAGGCGGUGUAUGGCGGUGAUUUUUGUUAUAAGAUCAAGCAUGUGCUAGAGCCUUUUAGCUCGGGUGAGCUCUCUUAAGCCGAUUACAUCUAGAUCCACCGAGUCAACAUGAAGAACAAUUCUAGCCUCGAAGGUCUCAUGAAGGUGGCAGAUCUUGUAAUCCUCCAACUCGUUGAUCGAAUUUUUCCUAUAUCGGUUUUGUUAGAUUAUUCAGUUUCUGUGCUUUAUUUUUUAUUUAUUUUCUACUCUACUUGUUCUAUUAAAUUUCUACUAUGAAGGGAUUAAUAUUGAGCAAUUGUAGGUUGCAACGAGAUUGUCUAAGGACGAGAAGUUUCAACAACUUUCCAUGUAGCACUAGCUUGAAGCUGUAAGUCUCUGAACCAUAUAAGUGAUUCUUACAUUUGGGAUUUGCUAUUAUCCAAAUUUUAGCUUCCAUUCAUUCUGAAGUGUAAAGUAUUUUUGCAGUGGACAAACUUAUAAAAAAUGCUUUUAUCAUUGGUUUUACCCACUCUUAGUGAGAAGACAAAUCUGAACCAUCGAUAUAUUUGCUUGAAAAUGGUCUGUGAUAUUAAUUAUCAUUAUUUACUGUAGAUUGAUCCACACCGUAGGUAUUGGCACAAUUUACAUCUCUAUUGCAAUAUCUGGUUCAAAAGAGAGGCUACAACAUUUCUUUUACUGUGAGCACCCAACUAACUAUUUUAGAUUGAUACCUUAUUUGGUUUGACGUUUGGGAAACAAUUAUGGGAGUAGAAACUUAUAACUAUUAGAAAUACAAUCAAAACUUUCUCCUUUUUUUUUUGAUAUUUUAAUGAACAAAAUAUUUCUUACUGACUUGUUCUUGCAACAUUUGUUCUUUAAUGUAAAGGUUGGAUGUUAGAGAUGGAAAAGAACUAAAUUUAGAGAAGUGCUCAGGGGACAAUUUGCAAUGGCAAUGCAUCAAAUAUCUGGGACCAGCAAGUUUCAAGUCAUUGAAGAGCAUUAGCAAUCUCAAGAGUAGACAUUGCACUUGAAUUUAUUUUUUCAAAUAAUGUAAAGUGCUAAACUAAUUAUAGUACAUUAGCUAGCAUUCUCAUGAACACAAAUUAUCAUUCCUCCAGCAGAAAGAGUGAAAUCAUAUGAAGUCGUGGUUGAAAAUGGGAAGCUUGUGUACAAACAGAGUGGUUACACUGUGGACACAAUUGAAGGUUCAAAAUGUAUUGUUCAUCCAAUUGAACCCGUAUAAGAAAGGUAUUUUUGUUUUAUCAAAUUUGAGAUUUUCCGUUUUUCUUUCCCAACAGUAAUGAACUUGAAUUACAAUAAUCAGUAGUCAUCGAUGGUAUUGAAGUUUUUUGAAGUACAUAAAGG